GACAAACAAAAUUGUGGACAGCCCUAAAUAAGGACAACUAUUGCUGCCGUCCAUUGCUUCAAGUAGCUAUUAUAUGAACCCACAUUUCUGUAGGCAAAGAACAUUUUAAAAAAAGAUUUCACACUGAGGCAAACCUAGACUGACCAAGAGCAUCUGCACAAAACUUUCCACUUUUAAUGGAGCAGAUGAAGCAGGCCAGCAAAGAUUGUCUGACCAGAAGUCACGGAGAUGGUGACGGUAUCUGAUGAAGAAAUUCCCACCAUCCUUUGAGGCUGCUUAAAAGUGGGGAGAGUCGGUGGAAUCUUCUUUGAAGCGAAAUGCAAAGUGCGCUUGUUACAGAGGGCGGAUUUCAUCCCCCUAACUUGUCCUCUCUAGGAGCCAGAGACUUGCUUUGAAAUCAAUACAAUUCGUGCAAUUCAUGUCUUUGGGGGACGCCGAUCCAUUCCAACCUAAGUGUGUCCAGUUCUUUCCUCCAGCUUUGGUAGUUUCACAAUACCAUUUCUCUGUUCAAAACGGAUCCUCGUUUUUUUAACCCCCAUCCCAUCCACCCACCGAAAGGGAAAAGGGGGUUCUUAAUUCACUAGUUGCAAAUAAAGGGGUCGAAGGGAGCUCAGAUGACCUAGCUGCAAAACCAGCUUCUCUUAAGCUACAAAAAGCAAAUCAGCCGCGGCUCAUUUGGAGAGGGGAGGAAUCUGUUGGACUCUGAUUUAAGGGCUCACAACGGUAUGUCCGGGGUUUAAGUUCUUUCGCAAGCCAGACUAUCUCUGAGAAGUUGGUGAGAGGAGUCAAGAGGAUCCCAGGUAGCUCAAACAGUGCUUGUGUAUCUGGAAGGAAUGGUGGUGAAGGGCCCUUGUUGAAGAUAAUAUCUCUUCCCAUCACCCGACUCAUUCCUUCUUCCCCUUCCACCCUGGGACAUCAGCAUUCCCCUCCGAAAUCAGACCAAGACCCCUGGGAAGAUCACAGGGGGUCGUGCAUUUAGAAUGGGAAGUUGCUUCAUAUCUUUGCCAACCCAUCUGGACGGCAGCUGCAGCUACCAGCUCGUUGUAACUCACUCAAGCCCUUCCUUAUAGGUUGUGGGAACCUGUUUGCACUUUCCUCUAACCUGAUCCUGGUCCCACUCCACUUCACUGGGUAAUUCAAAAUUCUGGCAUUAGCUCUUUCCCCUGCUCCCAAAGUCCCCUUUCCUUUAUUAACAAGUUUCUAUAUUUUUUUUUUAAAAAAAGCUUCAAUUAAAAAUGUAACCACUUCCUGGAGCCAGUGCGGCCCUUUUCUUGGCAUUCAUUCCUUAUCUCCCCCUCCCCACAAAAAAAGUCAAAUUGGAUCUUCAUAGCAGCACUAUUUUAUCUCCAUGACCUCCACAACAGUCCUGCAAGGUAGAAAAGGUGCCAUCUUUAUUUCAGUUAAUAGGAAGACAACGGAAGCUGGAAGAUACUAACUUGCUGCUGCUGCUGUUGUUAUCAAAUGAAAUCAUAGCUGCCAGAUCUUCUGCCAGCAUUGUUGUUAUUCUUACUGUUGUUGUUCCAAAUAAAAUGAGGACAAAGGAA